GGCCAAAAUGUCCAGUCGCCCACUAGCCAUUGGCGAAAGAAAAUUGUACGUUGGCGAUUAGAAAUUUACUUCUACCGCCUGUGACUUGAACCCUACAGCCUGUAAUGUUUAUGCCUGUCUUGUAGAUAAACCCUACAGAUGAAAUGUUUAUGCCUGUCUUCUAGUAAAAUGUUCAGCCUGCAUAUUAUUGGUGAUCUAUAGCAGGGGUUCCCAACCCAUAGUACGUGUACCCCC